UACAGAGGUCUCAAGCGUUGUUCGGAUUCAUUGGGCGUAAAGGGUGCGUAGGCGGCGCGGUAAGUCGGGUGUGAAAUUUCGAGGCUUAACUUCGAAACUGCAUUCGAUACUGCCGUGCUUGAGGACUGGAGAGGAGACUGGAAUUUACGGUGUAGCGGUGAAAUGCGUAGAUAUCGUAAGGAAGACCAGUGGCGAAGGCGGGUCUCUGGACAGUGCCUGACGCUGAGGCACGAAGGCCAGGGGAGCAAACGGG
rnacentral:rRNA from 1 species